rnacentral:sRNA from 1 species
AGUGAGGAGAGGCAGGUGACAACGUCAGUCUUUUACAAAGAAUAUCCCCGAUUGCAGUCCGAGAGAGGAGAAGAGAAGGAAUAUGAAAUCUGUUUCCAGAGAGAGAUGCAGAUGCCAGAAGGGACAAUUAGAGAACUAACAAUGAGUCUCUUCAUCUGGAAAAAAUUGGAAGUCAAAGCAAGGAGGUCACUUGCUCUGGGGAAAGCCACCUGCCAUGCCGUGAGGACAUUCAAACUGCCUAUGGAGAGGUCCACAUAGUGAAAAACUAAGGCCCCUGCCAAAACCCAUGUGAGCCAUCUUGGAAACAGAUCCUUCAGCCCUAGGCAAGCCCUUAGAUAAUGUAGUGCCAGCCAACAUCUUGACAGCAGCCUGCAAGAGACUCUGAGUUAGAAACAACCAGCGAAGCCAUUCCUGAAUUCCUAAUCCUCAGAAUCAGCAUGAUAAUAGUAAAUGCUUAUUGUAA